rnacentral:rRNA from 1 species
AGCGGACGCUGGCGGCAGGCCUAACACAUGCAAGUCGAACGAAGUCUUCGGACUUAGUGGCGGACGGGUGAGUAACACGUGGGAACGUGCCUUUAGGUUCGGAAUAACUCAGGGAAACUUGUGCUAAUACCGAAUGUGCCCUUCGGGGGAAAGAUUUAUCGCCUUUAGAGCGGCCCGCGUCUGAUUAGCUAGUUGGUGAGGUAAAGGCUCACCAAGGCGACGAUCAGUAGCUGGUCUGAGAGGAUGAUCAGCCACAUUGGGACUGAGACACGGCCCAAACUCCUACGGGAGGCAGCAGUGGGGAAUCUUGCGCAAUGGGCGAAAGCCUGACGCAGCCAUGCCGCGUGAAUGAUGAAGGUCUUAGGAUUGUAAAAUUCUUUCACCGGGGGACGAUAAUGACGGUACCCGGAGAAGAAGCCCCGGCUAACUUCGUGCCAGCAGCCGCAGUAACAC